CAAAAUUUCAUCGUCCAGCUUUGCGUCUCUACUCUGUAUCCUUAGCCCUCUUUGUUGACCGCAAAGCUCAAAAUCGCCAUGGGAGAUGUCAGAGGAAAUUCCAAUAGCAAUCGGCCAGAGUGGUUGCAACAGUAUGAUUUGAUAGGGAAAAUUGGGGAAGGGACUUACGGGUUGGUUUUUUUGGCUAAGAUCAAAGCUAACCGUAGCAAAUCUAUUGCUAUCAAGAAGUUCAAGCAAUCCAAGGACGGUGACGGCGUUUCCCCCACCGCCAUUCGCGAAAUCAUGUUGCUUCGGGAGAUAUCCCAUGAGAAUGUUGUAAAGCUUGUCAAUGUGCAUAUCAACCAGGCAGAUAUGUCUCUCUAUCUCGCUUUUGACUAUGCCGAGCAUGACCUCUAUGAAAUUAUCAGACACCAUAGAGACAAGGUCAUUCUUUCAAUCAAUCCGUACACUGUAAAGUCUCUGUUAUGGCAGCUGCUUAAUGGUCUCAAUUAUCUUCACAGUAAUUGGAUUGUUCAUCGAGACCUAAAGCCAUCAAACAUCUUGGUAAUGGGCGAGGGAGAAGAACAUGGAGUUGUUAAAAUUGCUGAUUUCGGCCUUGCAAGAAUUUAUCAAGCUCCACUGAAACCAUUAGCUGAGAAUGGGGUUGUAGUCACUAUCUGGUAUCGUGCGCCGGAGUUACUGCUUGGGGCUAAACACUACACAAGUGCAGUUGAUAUGUGGGCCGUUGGCUGUAUAUUUGCUGAGCUUCUUACUCUAAAGCCACUAUUUCAAGGGCAAGAAGUGAAGGGCACACCAAACCCUUUCCAGCUUGACCAACUGGACAAGAUAUUUAAGGUUCUCGGACAUCCCACACCAGAAAAAUGGCCAACACUGGUAAACCUUCCGCAUUGGCAAUCUGAUGUGCAACGAAUUCAAGGACAUAAGUAUGACAAUCCUGCACUUUAUAGUGUUCUGCACAUGUCUCCCAAAAGUCCUGCAUACGACCUUCUUUCAAAGAUGCUUGAAUAUGAUCCUCGUAAAAGAAUAACAGCAACACAAGCUCUAGAGCAUGAGUACUUCCGGAUGGAACCUCUACCUGGCCGCAAUGCACUUGUACCACCACAACCUGGAGAAAAAGUUGUGAAUUAUCCAACUCGACCUGUGGACACAACUACAGACUUUGAAGGAACCAUUAGUCUUCAAACGUCUCAGCCGGUAUCAUCUGGAAAUGCAGCAUCUGGUGGCAUGCAUGGUCCCCAUGUUAUGCCAACUAGAUCUGUACCCCGACCAAUGCAAAUGGUGAACAUGCCAAGGAUGCAACCUCAGGGCAUGUCUGCUUAUAAUCUUGCUUCUCAAGCUGGCAUGAGUGCUGGAAUGAACCCUGGAAACAUGCCCAUGCAGCGUGGUGUUGCUGCUCAGGCACAUCAGCAGCAGAUGAGAAGGAAAGAUCCAGGAAUGGGAAUACCUGGAUACCCUUCACAACAGAAAUCUAGGCGGUUCUGAAAGUUUUUCUCAAUGACAAUCAUGCACAUACAACUCUGCAUAGCAGGUGGAUUAACGUUUCUGAAGCUGGCAAUGUUAAUGAACACAAGUAGAUGAGGCUGAAGAGGGUUUACAGAUAGGCAGUACUAUGUCAGACUUGGAUACAACAAUGUUCUUUAGUGUCUCAGUCGAACAUGAUUGCGUAAAGAAUAACUAGUGUUGUGGGUGAGAGAUAUCAGCAGCAG
rnacentral:misc_RNA from 1 species